rnacentral:lncRNA from 1 species
ACUCUUCUGCGGGAAGGGCUUGGCGUAGACCGCGCACUGGAAGGCGUGCGCGCAGGUGUGCGUGACCAUGUGCUUGAAACGGCAGUAGCGCAGCGAGAAGGAUCGCCAUCACACGGCGCACUGGUGCGGCUUCUCCCCCGAGUGGAUGAACAUGUGCUUGGUGUCGUUUUUCCUUGAGCUGAACGUCUUGCAACAGUGGCCGCACGCAUAGGGCUGACCCCACAUUGGACACCGCUGCAUCCAUGUCCAUCACACAACACAGCUGCCGUUUCUUCUGCCUGCUUAUGGGAAAGUCCCCUCUUCUCCUCCGUUUUCUUCUCUUCCUGCCCUAUCACACCGUGCACUUCUCCCUUUCCUUAAAGAACCACCAUCAACUUUAGGAGGAGGGAAAGGGGUGGCUCUGGCAGGAAAAGCCAGAAUCCCCUCUAGCCAGCAGAGAGAGAGAGGAAUGGCUGCAUGUUUUCUCCCCCAGUCCAAGGCACUGGGUCUUGGCUGGGUUGAAGGUUCCAAGCUGCUCUCCUGCUGUGUCGGUGAGUUCUGGUCAACCUGCAACCUCCUGAUAUGGCCAUUGCAGUUCAUCGAGUCUUCAGGGACUCCCCAUGGCCUGGAGUACUUUGCCUUGCUUACACGGGAGAGGAGAAUGGAUUUAUAGAGAACAUCAUCUAAAUCCAACUUGACCAUUGUGUGGCCACACUUGCUAGAUUGCUAUAGUCUAAAUCUAGCAUUGUAGAAAGACGGGGGAGCUUGGAGCUGCACAAACCCAGGUCUGGAACUGGCUCCUUACCUUGGAAGGUGAAUGAUCCUGCCAGGACUCUUAGCCUCCCUGGGUCUCAAUUUCUUUAUCUGUUUCAUGGGAAUGAGGAUCUCUGCUGGGUGGUUGGGUGAUGUGGGGGCUGUGUGAAAACAGCUUGUCAAUACAAGCCAAAAUAGAAAUAUUUCUCCACAGAGUAUGAAGGUCAAAUGAGAGAAUACAUUUAAAUUAAAUGGAAAAUUAAAAUGGUAAAAAAUGCAAAGCUGUAUUGAAAGUUCCGAGCUUCUCUAUAAGGAGCUUUUUGACUAUGUAAGAAUCCUGUACUCGUUCCCCCUAAAUAU